CCCACGCUUCAGAGCACAUGCUUUACAAUGUACAGAGGCUCUCCAGAGUAGCCAUUGAGCAGCACUGCCCCAUGGUUUCAUUUAGCGUCUGUGAUAGCAUUUAUGGAAUUACCAAUAUUUUAGACUUUAAAGGGAUUGUGUAAGUCUGUCAUUCUAAAUGAAAGUUUGUCUCUCUGUGAUUUUGUACUUAAGUUUGACCAGCUCACUUUAAAACACAAAACAGCAACUCGAAGAAGGAAAAUGACAAAUGGUUUAAAUUUUGUUGUUGCAAUAGAAGAUAGGAACAGUCUUACAUUUCUCAGUGAAGAAUCCUGUGUAUCAUUACUUGUCCCAUGAUUAUUUUGUUAAAGGAAAAGGGGUCAUAUGAUGUACUAUUUCUCAAUGUUUAAAUCAUGCCAAACAAAUCAUGUCUGUGCCAUCCAGGGUUUAUUGUAAUCUUUUACUGAGUACUUGGACUGGGAAAAAGGGC
rnacentral:lncRNA from 1 species